AUACGGAGGGUGCAAGCGUUACUCGGAAUCACUGGGCGUAAAGGAUGCGUAGGCGGAUAAUCAAGUCAAAAGUGAAAUCCUACAGCUUAACUGUAGAACUGCUUUCGAAACUGGUUAUCUAGAAUAUGCAAGAGGCAGAUGGAAUUAGUGGUGUAGGGGUAAAAUCCGUAGAGAUCACUAGGAAUACCGAUUGCGAAGGCGAUCUGCUGGGACAUUAUUGACGCUGAGGCAUGAAAGCGUGGGGAGCAAACAGUAUUAGAAACCCUAGUAGUCC
rnacentral:rRNA from 1 species